AGAAAUUUACAAACUUCAGAGAUCUGAAUGUAAUUUCUUAAACAUAAGGGGAUUUUUUGUAAUUACAACUUUGUGUUCGACUGGACUGGACUUGUUUGGUGAAUUAGUAAUUGGCCCAUCGUUGCGAGCCUGGUUACAAUGGGCUUUUUAUUCCCGGCCCGAAUAAAAUGGAAAUGACACUGAGCGGCGCACAAUAGACAAACUGGGGGCGAAAUUCUAAAAUGCUCCGUUGUAAGCCCUAAUUGGAGCCGCUCCACCACUUAUAAAUAAUCGCCGUCUCGCCACCCAUAAACCACCACCAACUCCGCCGCCAUUUCCAAUCUCGAGUUACGCAUCUUCAUUCACGCCGCUCCUUGCAGACAAUCGAUACUUCAGGAAAAAAAUGGCUACUCAAAUUGCAGACAAUCGUAGUUUGUGGCGGACGGAGUGUUCUUCGCCGAGUUGCUGACGUGGAGAGCUGCCGGAGGAUGGUUACUCCGGCGUGGAGGUUAGGGUUACACCCGUGCGCACCGCUCGUACUCAGAAUGUACUCGAGCCUGCUAUGGAGUCUUACUAUUUGUUAUGGAGAUUGGUGCAAAGGGGUGUGAGUUAAUUGCCAGUGGAAAACUAAGGACUCAGCCCUCAGCGAGCCAAAUCCAUGAAAUUCGAAGACGGGUACAUAAUAUCCUCUGGCCCUGUCAAACUUUUGCUGUGAAGCUGGCCAUUUGAUUUACGAUCAAAUUGGUUUUCUUACUUGGUUACGCAUUUUUUUCCUGAAGGGCGUUCUUGGAAUUGAAUUUAAGAUAAUGCUCGACUGGGACCCGAAGGGGAAACAGGGUUCGAUUACGCCUUCACCGGAUCUUGUCACAAUAUAUCCACCGAAAGAGGAGCACUAUAUUGCGCCACCAGUAGCUGCUGCUACUGAUGUUGAUAUAGAAGGUGCGGUGUCCGAAGAAAUUCUCUAAGCAGAUGAAGGAAUGUUAUAUAUAUGUAAGAGUGUGUGUGACGUGAAGUUAUGUUGUGUAAAUAGUGCAUUUUGUUAUAAUGUGGCUGUAUGAUGUUUUUUGUUAGGAACUUUUGUAAGAAUUUGUUUUUAAUUAGUGGUUAAAUAGGUUAUUUAAAUAAAAAUGUUCUUCAAUGGC